AUGUUGAAGACGACGGGCGCGCAGCACAUGUGGGUGACGCCGUAGCGGGCGAUGGCGCGGUAGACCUCAGCGGGGCGGUUCUCGCGGAUGCAGACGUUGACGCCGCCGCGCGCCGCCAUGCCCCAGGUGAAGGUCCAGCCGUUGCAGUGGAACAUGGGGAGCGUCCACAGAUAGACCGGCUCGGUGCCCACCUCCCAGGACAUGAGCAAACUGGUGGUGCUGAGGUAAGCGCCGCGGUGGCUGUAGACCACGCCCUUGGGCGCGGACGUGGUGCCGGACGUAUAG
rnacentral:rRNA from 1 species